rnacentral:rRNA from 1 species
AAGCGUUGUUCGGAAUUACUGGGCGUAAAGGGCUCGUAGGCGGCCAACUAAGUCAGACGUGAAAUCCCUCGGCUUAACCGGGGAACUGCGUCUGAUACUGGAUGGCUUGAGGUUGGGAGAGGGAUGCGGAAUUCCAGGUGUAGCGGUGAAAUGCGUAGAUAUCUGGAGGAACACCGGUGGCGAAGGCGGCAUCCUGGACCAAUUCUGACGCUGAGGAGCGAAAGCCAGGGGAGCAAACGGG